UUACAACAGCCUUUAAAAUACUUGCCUAAGCUGAGCUCCUGAAGAAACUUGGACCUGUCUCCUUGACCACGCCUUUACACCCGCACCUGACAUCCAUGGCUCUGAGGCCCAGAAAGAGCUGAGGAGGUCAUAGAGAUCAUCAAUGCUCUGCUUGCUUUGAUGUACCAUUAAGAAGACGAUCUUUCCUCUAACAGCCCCAUACAACUGAGCAGCGCCACCACGUCAUACCGAAGGAAGGCCCUGUGAGUCUAUGAAGCGGCAAAAUGAGUAAACUGAUUGGCUGAAGACAGAACUAAUCAUCCUACUGGUAUCUAACUCCAGGGCCUACGUUAAUAGCAUAUAUUUCCAUCUGUGUUUAAUAUGCCUCAGAGGCUGAGUAGAGGCAGAUCUUGCUUGGAGAGGCACCAUCUGCCUACAGGGAUUAGAUCCGAGCCACAUUACCCAUAUAUGCUCAGAAUGGUCUGUCAGGAACACCCUUGUUAAUAGUUUAGCUGAUACUGUUUCUCUAAGGUGGAAGUAAAAAUUACUAAAUGAAA
ensembl:lncRNA RNF157-AS1 RNF157 antisense RNA 1